rnacentral:rRNA from 1 species
GUCUUCGGAUGCUGACGAGUGGCGAACGGGUGAGUAAUGCAUCGGAACGUGCCCAGUCGUGGGGGAUAACGCAGCGAAAGCUGUGCUAAUACCGCAUACGAUCUGCGGAUGAAAGCGGGGGACCUUCGGGCCCAACUCGACUGCAUGAAGUCAGAAUCGAUAGUAAUCGUGGAUCAGCAUGUGACGGUGAAUACGUUCCCGGGUCUGGUGCACGCCGAGACGACCAGCCACACUGGGACUGAGACACGGCCCAGACUCCUACGGGAGGCAGCAGUGGGGAAUUUUGGACAAUGGGCGCAAGCCUGAUCCAGCAAUGCCGCGUGCAGGAAGAAGGCCUUCGGGUUGUAAACUGCUUUUGUACGGAACGAAAAGCUCUGGGCUAAUACCCUGGGGUCAUGACGGUACCGUAAGAAUAAGCACCGGCUAACUACGUGCCAGCAGCCGCGGUAAUACGUAGGGUGCGAGCGUUAAUCGGAAUUACUGGGCGUAAAGCGUGCGCAGGCGGUUUUGUAAGACAGGCGUGAAAUCCCCGGGCUCAACCUGGGAAUUGCGCUUGUGACUGCAAGGCUAGAGUGCGGCAGAGGGGGAUGGAAUUCCGCGUGUAGCAGUGAAAUGCGUAGAUAUGCGGAGGAACACCGAUGGCGAAGGCAAUCCCCUGGGACUACACUGACGCUCAUGCACGAAAGCGUGGGGAGCAAACAGGAUUAGAUACCCUGGUAGUCCACGCCCUAAACGAUGUCAACUGGCUGUUGGGUCUUUGCUGACUCAGUAACGAAGCUAACGCGUGAAGUUGACCGCCUGGGGAGUACGGUCGCAAGAUUAAAACUCAAAGGAAUUGACGGGGACCCGCACAAGCGGUGGAUGAUGUGGAUUAAUUCGAUGCAACGCGAAAAACCUUACCUACCCUUGACAUGUCUGGAAUCCCGAAGAGAUUUGGGAGUGCUCGCAAGAGAACCGGAACACAGGUGCUGCAUGGCUGUCGUCAGCUCGUG